GGAUGCACUCCCACAGGAAAGAAAGCACCAAUCUGGAGGGUCCCAAGAUCUGCAGAAGCUUUGUCGUGGCUUCAUGGACUUCCUCCCUUGGAACGUCUCGAGUUCUGCAACGCAAUCCCACUAGACUGGUAACUUGCAUAUCUGAAAAAAGAAAGAUCUUAAAGAAAAAUGUAUGGAUGUUUGAACCUCAUCCAAAGCAGUGGAUAUUUAAAAAUAAAGGAUAUACAUAA